AGUAGGGAAUGGGCAUGUGCAGG
rnacentral:piRNA from 1 species